CGCGUAGGCGAGGUCGUGGGUCGGCCGUGAAAUCCACCGGCUCAACCGGUGAACUGCGGUCGAAACUACGACUCUUGAGCUCGGUAGAGGAAGGCGGAAUUCCUGGUGUAGCGGUGGAAUGCGUAGAUAUCAGGAAGAGCACCGGUAGCGAAGGCGGCCUUCUGGGCCGUAGCUGACGCUGAGGCGCGAAAGCCGGGGGAGCGAACA
rnacentral:rRNA from 1 species